rnacentral:rRNA from 1 species
UCCAGACUCCUACGGGAGGCAGCAGUGGGGGAUAUUGCACAAUGGGGGAAACCCUGAUGCAGCGACGCCGCGUGAGUGAAGACGGCCUUCGGGUUGUAAAGCUCUGUCAAUCGGGACGAAGAAGAUGACGGUACCGAUGAAGGAAGCUCCGGCUAACUACGUGCCAGCAGCCGCGGUAAUACGUAGGGAGCAAGCGUUGUCCGGAAUUACUGGGUGUAAAGGGAGCGUAGGCGGGGAUGCAAGUUGGAAGUGAAAGGUAUGGGCUCAACCCAUGAACUGCUUUCAAAACUGUAUUUCUUGAGUGAAGUAGAGGCAGGCGGAAUUCCUAGUGUAGCGGUGAAAUGCGUAGAUAUUAGGAGGAACACCAGUGGCGAAGGCGGCUUGCUGGGCUUUUACUGACGCUGAGGCUCGAAAGUGUGGGGAGCAAACAGGAUUAGAUACCCGUGUAAC